rnacentral:rRNA from 1 species
UCAACCGAGAUUCCGCAAGUAGUGGCGAGCGAACGCGGAAAAGCCUGUAUAUGAUAAUGGUUAGGAUAGAAGAAGGGAUUGGAAACUUCCGCCAUAGUGGGUGAUAGCCCCGUAUUUGAAAUCUUAACCAUGGUACUAAGUAUACGAGAAGUAGGGCGGGACACGUGAAAUCCUGUCUGAAUAUGGGGGGACCAUCCUCCAAGGCUAAAUACUCAUCAUCGACCGAUAGUGAACCAGUACCGUGAGGGAAAGGCGAAAAGAACCCCGGAAGGGGAGUGAAAUAGAACCUGAAACCUGAUGCAUACAUACAGUGGGAGCAUCUUUGUGGUGUGACUGCGUACCUUUUGUAUAAUGGGUCAACGACUUACAUUCAGUAGCGAGCUUAACCGAGUAGGGGAGGCGUAGGGAAACCGAGUCUUAAUAGGGCGACUAGUUGCUGGGUGUAGACCCGAAACCGAGUGAUCUAUCCAUGGCCAGGAUGAAGGUGCGGUAAAACGCAUUGGAGGUCCGAACCCACGCAUGUUGCAAAAUGCGGGGAUGAGCUGUGGAUAGGGGUGAAAGGCUAAACAAACUCGGAGAUAGCUGGUUCUCCCCGAAAACUAUUUAGGUAGUGCCUCGAGUAUGAGACUGAUGGGGGUAAAGCACUGUUAUGGCUCUGUCUCUUAUACACAUCU